UACGUAGGGACCAAGCGUUGUUCGGAGUUACUGGGCGUAAAGAGUGCGUAGGCGGUUUUCUAAGUUUGGUGUGAAAUCUCCCGGCUCAACUGGGAGGGUGCGCCGAAGACUGGAAGGCUUGAGUAUGGGAGAGGUAAGCGGAAUUCCUGGUGUAGCGGUGAAAUGCGUAGAUAUCAGGAGGAACACCUGCGGUGUAGACGGCUUACUGGACCAUAACUGACGCUGAGGCACGAAAGCGUGGGUAGCAAACAGG
rnacentral:rRNA from 1 species